CAAAGGUUUGGUCCCGGCCUUGCCAUCAGCUUUACCUGAACUUACACAUGCAAGUAUCCGCAUUCCCGUGAGGAUCCCCGCAGCCCCCCCCCCACGGGGGCACGGAGCUGGUAUCAGGCACAAACUAUUAGCCCAUGACACCUAGCCCAGCCACACCCCCAAGGGUAUUCAGCAGUGGUAAAUAUUAAGCUAUGAGUGAAAACUUGACUUAGUUAAAGGUAAGAGGGCUGGUAAAUUUCGUGCCAGCCACCGCGGUUACACGAGAAGCCCAAGUUGAUAAACAACGGCGUAAAGGGUGGUUAAGGGCUUUUAAAACUAGAGUCGAACUUUAUCAAGGCUGUUAUACGCAUACGAAAACAGAAGAUCAUCUACGAAAGUGACUCUAACUUUCCUGACACCACGAAAGCUAUGGAACAAACUGGGAUUAGAUACCCCACUAUGCAUAGCCGUAAACCUGACAGCUCAGUACAUUCGCUGUCCGCCCGGGGACUACAAGCACGAGCUUCAAACCCAAAGGACUUGACGGUGCUUCACAUCCACCUAGAGGAGCCUGUCCUAGAACCGAUACCCCCCGUUAAACCUCACCUUUUCUUGCCCAUCCCGCCUAUAUACCGCCGUCUUCUGCUUACCCUAUGAAGGACACAUAGUGAGCAUAAUUGGUUUUACCCUAAACGUCAGGUCGAGGUGUAGCGUAUGAGAAGGAAAGAGAUGGGCUACAUUCAAUGAAUCAUUGAAGUUUUCACGGAUAGUCAACUGAAAAACAAACUUUGAAGGAGGAUUUAGUAGUAAGCAGGGAAUAGAGAGCCCCACUGAAUUUGGCCCUGAAGCGCGUACACACCGCCCGUCACUCUCCCCGAGCAGUCGCAAACCUGUUCCUAAAACCCUGAGAACGCUAAGGGGAGGCA
rnacentral:ncRNA from 2 species